rnacentral:rRNA from 1 species
UACGGAGGGGGUUAGCGUUGUUCGGAUUUACUGGGCGUAAAGCGCGCGUAGGCGGAUCGGAAAGUUGGGGGUGAAAUCCCGGGGCUCAACCCCGGAAUUGCCUUCAAAACUCCUGGUCUUGAGUUCGAGAGAGGUGAGUGGAAUUCCGAGUGUAGAGGUGAAAUUCGUAGAUAUUCGGAGGAACACCAGUGGCGAAGGCGGCUCACUGGCUCGAUACUGACGCUGAGGUGCGAAAGCGUGGGGAGCAAACAGG